ACUUUUUAUGGCUGGAUAAAACUGGUUUGUUAAUAUAUACUUUUUCUUUGUCUACUUCAUAGACAUCUACACUGAUUUCAUAACUUGUCUAUAAGCAAUGCCACAAUAAGCGUGAAUGUAAAACAACUUUAGUUUUAAUAGCCAGAAAUUAGAAAAAAAUACCCGCAAUAGAUGGAUAAAAUGGUAUACCCAUAUAAUAAAAAAUAUUAACAAUAAAAGGAAAAACUAUUGAUUGAACUUAGCUCUUAUAAGAGAUCUGGCUAAAUGAAAUGGCACAAUUACAAAAGGUUAUAUUUUAGAAGAUUGCAUUUGCCUAAGACUCUUGAAAUGACAAAUUUAUAGCUCUUUAGUUGUAGGGUGUGUCAGGAAUGUUAGAGGUACUGAACAUGGCUGGGUAUGACUAUACAGAGCACUAGAUAUCUGAGUAAAACAAAUCUGUAUCUUGUCUGUGGUGGUAGUUAUAAAUAUUAUGUAGUAGUUACUAAGAACUAGACAUAAAGUGAGGACAUCUAAAAGUCAUAAAAUCUGAAUUAAGGUCUACAAAUACCAGCAUGUUUCAUAGUUUGGUAUUAUACUAUAGUUAUAUGCCACCCAAGGGCAAACAGGAAGAAAGAUAUUUAGAACCUGCUUGUACUACAUUAUGUAAUUUCUUGUGAAUCUUAAUUAUUUUAAAAUAAAGAAGGUCUAUAAAGCAUCAAAAGAUAGAUCUUCCAAUCCAUAAAAGCCUGUACUGGAAAAUACCUCAUUUCUUAAAAAGAACUUACCAGAAACAAUGUUUUGUGUGUGAAUAAACCCACAGAAGCAACAGGAAUACAUAUAUGGUAAAAGACCUGGAUGUAAUGUAAAAAAUUUAAGUUCUUUAGCUUAAUAUAUAAGAUGAAAAGUAGAUAAAGUUCAUAACUAGACUAGACAAUUAAUGAAGAUAUGAAAUGGCUGCUGACAAAAACAAAGAAAACUAAAAAAAUCUGCGGAUAAAGACAGUUAUCAUGUUUUAAACAAUACAAAUCUCCUAAAGCAAAACAAUGUAUCAAAAAUGAAAAUGAACUUAGAAAAUGAAACAGAAGUUAAUUUCAAAGUGAUGAAUAUGAAAGCCAAAGAAGAUUAAAUAUAAUUAAAUGGAGUCCAGAAGACAAGAUGGAACAUGAUUCUCAGAAGUUCAUCUGGAAUGAAGGACAGUUGAUACUAACAACUGGAUUGGCCUCUCCAGAAAGUCUGUUGUAAGACUAAAACCAACUGCUGCAAAUCAAAUUAUGUUCUCAAAAAGCACAAGUUUAUUUGGACAGUUAAGAAAAUCUGAGUAUGUCUUGUUAGGAGGUAAUAUAACAGGUAUGACAAUGUAUUUGUUUUGGAACAUGUACUUAUUCUGAAGAGCAGCUAAGAUACUUAAGGGUAUUACUUAAGGUAAUUUCAUAGGUUUAAAAAUCCAUUAAUUACAUAUGAAUAAAUAUACACAUAUAAAUAGGAUAUAUCAAAAUAUUAGCUUAAAUUCAAGCACAGGAUAUACUUGUAAUGUUUAUGUUUGAAAAUUUACUUGGUAAAACAGAAACAGCAUGAACCUA